GGUUCCAUGAUGAGAGGAUAAUGACUUCUCUCUGGAGGUGACAGCUGGUGUUGUUGAAUAAAACCUUGGUGUGACCUCAGAACAAACCUUGGUGAGAGUGUUACCUGCGACAAAUUGUACCAAUACCAACAGAGGUGUUGGAAUGCAAGGAAUGAGGACCCAUGAUAGCAAGGAUGGACAUUGGAUAAAUACAGAGUUUGAUCUUGGAAUACAAUUACUCCACUUCAUAGUAAA